rnacentral:rRNA from 1 species
CCAAUAGCGUAUAUUAAAGUUGUUGCAGUUAAAAAGCUCGUAGUUGAAUUUCGGGAUCAGACUGUCGGUCGUGCCUCGGUACGCACUGGCAUUAUUGGUUCCUACCUUCUGAAGAACCGCGAUGUCAUUAAUUUGGUGUCGCGGGGAAUCAGGACUGUUACUUUGAAAAAAUUAGAGUGUUUAAAGCAGGCUUACGCUUGAAUACAUUAGCAUGGAAUAAUGAAAUAGGACGUUUGAUUCUAUUUUGUUGGUUUCUAGGAUCGACGUAAUGAUUAAUAGGGAUAGUUGGGGGCAUUAGUAUUCAAUUGUCAGAUGUGAAAUUCUUGGAUUUAUUGAAGACUAACUACUGCGAAAGCAUUUGCCAAGGAUGUUUUCAUUAAUCAAGAACGAAAGUUAGGGGAUCGAAGACGAUCAGAUACCGUUGUAGUCUUAACCAUAAACUAUGCCGACUAGGGAUCGGAUGAUGUUUAUUUUUUAAUGACUCAUUUGGCACCUUACG